UGUAUUAGCCUUUGGGGGAGGUAACGGUUCCACCAAGGCCCCUGAUACGUAGCCGACCUGAGAGGGUAAUCGGCCCACUUGGGACUGAGACACGGCCCCAAAUUCCUACGGGAGGCAGCAGUAGGGAAUCUUCCACAAUGGACGAAAGUCUGAUGGAGCAACGCCGCGUGAGUGAUGAAGGGUUUCGGCUCGUAAAACUCUGUUGUUGGAGAAGAACAGGUGAUAGAGUAACUGUUAUCAUCUUGACGGUAUCCAACCAGAAAGCCACGGCUAACUACGUGCCAGCAGCCGCGGUAAUACGUAGGUGGCAAGCGUUGUCCGGAUUUAUUGGGCGUAAAGCGAGCGCAGGCGGUUUUUUAGGUCUGAUGUGAAAGCCUUCGGCUUAACCGGAGAAGGGCAUCGGAAACCGGGAGACUUGAGUGCAGAAGAGGACAGUGGAACUCCAUGUGUAGCGGUGAAAUGCGUAGAUAUAUGGAAGAACACCAGUGGCGAAGGCGGCUGUCUGGUCUGUAACUGACGCUGAGGCUCGAAAGCAUGGGUAGCGAACAGGAUUAGAUACCCUGGUAGUCCAUGCCGUAAACGAUGAGUGCUAAGUGUUGGAGGGUUUCCGCCCUUCAGUGCUGCAGCUAACGCAUUAAGCACUCCGCCUGGGGAGUACGACCGCAAGGUUGAAACUCAAAGGAAUUGACGGGGGCCCGCACAAGCGGUGGAGCAUGUGGUUUAAUUCGAUGCUACGCGAAGAACCUUACCAGGUCUUGACAUCUUCUGCUAACCUAAGAGAUUAGGCGUUCCCUUCGGGGACGGAAUGACAGGUGGUGCAUGGUUGUCGUCAGCUCGUGUCGUGAGAUGUUGGGUUAAGUCCCGCAACGAGCGCAACCCUUAUUGUCAGUUGCCAGCAUUUAGUUGGGCACUCUGGCGAGACUGCCGGUGACAAACCGGAGGAAGGUGGGGAUGACGUCAAAUCAUCAUGCCCCUUAUGACCUGGGCUACACACGUGCUACAAUGGACGGUACAACGAGUCGCGAAACCGCGAGGUCAAGCUAAUCUCUUAAAGCCGUUCUCAGUUCGGAUUGCAGGCUGCAACUCGCCUGCAUGAAGUUGGAAUCGCUAGUAAUCGUGGAUCAGCAUGCCACGGUGAAUACGUUCCCGGGCCUUGUACACACCGCCCGUCACACCAUGAGAGUUUGUAACACCCAAAGCCGGUGAGGUAACCUUCGGGAACCAGCCGUCUAAUGUGAUAAGCAAAAAAAAAAAAAACUCUCCC
rnacentral:rRNA from 1 species